rnacentral:rRNA from 1 species
UACGUAGGGUGCAAGCGUUGUCCGGAAUUAUUGGGCGUAAAGAGCUCGUAGGCGGUUUGUCGCGUCUGGUGUGAAAAUCCAGGGCUUAACCCUGGACCUGCAUCGGGUACGGGCAGACUAGAGUGCGGUAGGGGAGAUCGGAAUUCCUGGUGUAGCGGUGAAAUGCGCAGAUAUCAGGAGGAACACCAGUGGCGAAGGCGACUAUCUGGGCUGCAACUGACGCUGAGGCGCGAAGGCUAGGGUAGCAAACAGG